CAUUACAUGGAUUAUUUUACAUCUGCAUGCCAAAUUAUUAUUUGAGUUGUGGGAUUUCAACGAAGAACAAAACAACAAAACAAAAAUGGGAAUAUGGACACAGUGGAAGAGUCAGGAUCUUUAUUCUCCUAACAUGAACUUCAUGUUAUAACUGUUAUCCUGGCGAUAUUAGAGAGAUGCUCAUCAAGGCAAGGUGAUGAUUACCAGAGGGAAAACAAAGAACCUGUAGUUGAGCAUCACCUGUGUGAUCAUGAGAAGGCUGAAGAACCAGGAGUGACAAGAUAUCACCGGC